rnacentral:tRNA from 1 species
AGCAGCGUGGCUCAGUGGAAAGAGCUCAGGCUUGGUCAUGGGUUCGAAUCCCAGCUCUGCCA